rnacentral:rRNA from 1 species
CUACGGGGGGCACCAGUGGUGAAUAUUGGACAAUGGGGGAAACCCUGAUCCAGCAAUGCCGCGUGUGUGAAGAAGGCCUGCGGGUUGUAAAGCACUUUCGGUUGGGAGGACUGCUUCUAGCACUAAUAUUGUUGGAAGUUGACGUUACCUUCAGAAGAAGCACCGGCUAACUCCGUGCCAGCAGUCGCGGUAAUACGGAGGGUGCAAGCGUUAAUCGGAAUUACUGGGCGUAAAGCGCGCGUAGGCGGCUAGAUCAGUCGGGUGUGAAAGCCCCGGGCUUAACCUGGGAACUGCAUCCGAUACUGUCUAGCUUGAGUACAGGAGAGGAGAGUGGAAUUCCACAUGUAGCGGUGAAAUGCGUAGAUAUGUGGAGGAACACCAAUGGCGAAGGCAGCUCUCUGGCCUGAUACUGACGCUGAGGUGCGAAAGCGUGGGGAGCAAACAGGAUUAGAUACCCGAGUAGUC